rnacentral:rRNA from 1 species
GAUGAACGUUGGCGGUGUGUCUAAUACAUGCAAGUUGAGCGAAAUCAGGGGCAACCCUGGUUUAGCGGCAAACGGGUGCGUAACACGUUGGAACCUGCCUCAAACUCAGGGAUAACUCCGCGAAAGGGCUAAUACCGGAUGGUCCUGCGAAGGUAAAGACGCAAGUCGGGUUURAGAGGGUYCUGCGGCCUAUCAGCUAGUUGGUGAGGUAACGGCUCACCARGGCUAUGACGGGUAGCUGGUCUGAGAGGAUGGCCAGCCACAAUGGGACUGAGACACGGCCCAUACUCCUACGGGAGGCAGCAGWAAAGAAUAUWUCGCAAUGGCCGAAAGCUGACGAAGCGACACCGCGUGAAGGAUGAAGUCCUWUUGGACGUAAACUUCUUUUCUGAGGGAAUAAUUUUGAAGGUACCUCAGGAAUAAGCACCGGCUAACCACGUGCCAGCAGCCGCGGUAAUACGUGGGGUGCAAACGUUAUCCGGAAUUAUUGGGCGUAAAGCGUGUGUAGGUGGCAUGUUAAGUCUGAGGUAAAAUGUCGACGCUCAACGUCGUCAUCGUCUUGGAAACUGGCAUGCUUGAGGCAUUCAGAGGCAGAUGGAAUUUCGUGUGUAGGGGUAAAAUCCGUAGAUACACGAAGGAACACCAAAAGCGAAGGCAGUCUGCUGGGAAUGUCCUGACACUGAGACACGACAGCGUGGGUAGCAAACAGGAUUAGAUACCCUGGUAGUCCACGCCGUAAACGAUGGAUGCUAGGUGUAGGAGGUUCGACCCCUUCUGUGCCGUUSCUAACGCAUUAAGCAUCCCGCCUGGGGACUACGAGCGCAAGCUUAAAACUCAAAGGAAUAGACGGGGACCCACACAAGCGGUGGAACAUGUGGUUUAAUUCGAUAGUAAACGAGGAACCUCACCAAGGCUUGGCAUCUCGGGAAUCUCCUGGAAACAGGGGAGUGCCGCAAGGAACCCGAAGACAGGUGCUGCAUGGUUGUCGUCAGCUCGUGCCUUGAGGUGUUCGGUUAAGUCCGUCAACGAGCGCAACCCACGUCUCACGUUGUUUUUUUCUCAUGAGAGACUGCCUCGGCGAACGAGGAGGAAGGUGUGGAUGACGUCAAAUCAGCAUGGCCUUUAUGCCUUGGGCCACACACAUGUUACAAUGGUUAGGACAGCGGGCAGCAACUCGGUAACGAGAAGCCAAUCCCACAAAACUGACCUUAGUUCGGAUUGAGGGCUGAAACUCGCCCUCAUGAAGCUGGAAUCGCUAGUAACCGCGUAUCAGACAUGGCGCGGUGAAUAUGUUCCUGGGUCUUGUACUCACCGCCCGUCACGUCAUGAAAGCUGGAGGUACCGGAAGUUCCCCGCAAGGGGGCCCAUGGUAAAUUCAGUGAUUGGGACGAAGUCGUAACAAGGUAUCUGUAGGAG